UACAGAGGUCCCAAGCGUUGUUCGGAUUCACUGGGCGUAAAGGGUGCGUAGGCGGGUUAUUAAGUCAGUGGUGAAAGCUCCAUGCCUAACAUGGAAAUUGCCAUUGAUACUGAUGAUCUUGAGUACAUUUGAAGUGGGCGGAAUGUGUCAUGUAGUGGUGAAAUACUUAGAUAUGACACAGAACACCGAUUGCGUAGGCAGCUCACUAAACUGUAACUGACGCUGAGGCACGAAAGCGUGGGGAGCAAACAGG
rnacentral:rRNA from 1 species